UGGGGAAUCUUGCACAAUGGGCGCAAGCCUGAUGCAGCGACGCCGCGUGAAUGAUGAAGGCUUUCGGGUUGUAAAGUUCAGUAAGCAGGGAAGAAUAAGCAAGAGGUAAUAUUUCUUGUGAUGACGGUACCUGCCUAAAGCCCCGGCUAACUACGUGCCAGCAGCCGCGGUAAUACGUAUGGGGCGAGCGUUGUUCGGAAUUAUUGGGCGUAAAGGGCGUCUAGGCGGGGAUUUAAGUUAGGUGUGAAAGCUACGGGCUCAACCCGUAAACUGCAUCUAAAACUGGAUCUCUUGAGUUCGGGAGAGGAGAGCGGAAUUCCAGGUGUAGCGGUGAAAUGCGUAGAUAUCUGGAAGAACACCAGUGGCGAAGGCGGCUCUCUGGCCUAGAACUGACGCUGAAGCGCGAAAGCGUGGGGAGCGAACA
rnacentral:rRNA from 1 species